rnacentral:rRNA from 1 species
UCGAACGGCAGCACGGGGGCAACCCUGGUGGCGAGUGGCGAACGGGUGAGUAAUGCAUCGGAACGUGCCCAGUAGUGGGGGAUAGCCCGGCGAAAGCCGGAUUAAUACCGCAUACGUACUGAGGUAGAAAGCGGGGGACCGAAAGGCCUCGCGCUAUUGGAGCGGCCGAUGUCGGAUUAGCUUGUUGGUGGGGUAACGGCCUACCAAGGCGACGAUCCGUAACUGGUCUGAGAGGACGACCAGUCACACUGGGACUGAGACACGGCCCAGACUCCUACGGGAGGCAGCAGUGGGGAAUUUUGGACAAUGGGCGAAAGCCUGAUCCAGCAAUGCCGCGUGUGUGAAGAAGGCCUUCGGGUUGUAAAGCACUUUUGUCCGGAAAGAAAUCCGCCUGGCUAAUACCCGGGCGGGAUGACGGUACCGGAAGAAUAAGCACCGGCUAACUACGUGCCAGCAGCCGCGGUAAUACGUAGGGUGCGAGCGUUAAUCGGAAUUACUGGGCGUAAAGCGUGCGCAGGCGGCUUUGUAAGACAGAUGUGAAAUCCCCGGGCUCAACCUGGGAACUGCAUUUGUGACUGCAAGGCUAGAGUGCGUCAGAGGGAGGUGGAAUUCCGCGUGUAGCAGUGAAAUGCGUAGAGAUGCGGAGGAACACCGAUGGCGAAGGCAGCCUCCUGGGAUGACACUACGCUCUCACAAGCGAC